GGGGCUUCCAGGACAGCGAAUACGUCGGGACGCUCGGCCAGGAAUCGGCAUCCCAGAGCCUGGCGCUCAUUCCCGCCCCCACGCGGAUCACAUUCCCGCGUCGUGGCGCGCGCGUGGGAGGGGAUGGAAACGAGGGAAAUUUGAACAAAAGAGCUUGAAGAAGCUCAGGAAAAAUGGGAAGAAUGUUCUACAGCUCUGGCCCUGAUUGUCUCCAGAAGCAGCUAUUUCUCCUUCAGCGAUCAUGAACUUUUGAAGGUCAAGCAACCUCUGCCUGGGCUUAGAUAGGCAUUGGCGUCAGAGAACCGAUGCCCUCCAUUAACCAACCAUAUAGGCUGGAGAUAUGAAGGACACCCAGAAUAGUCACCAAAUCAAAUUGCAAUAAAAUGGUGGACCACCACUUAAAGCAGUUCUGUCAACAAGGCUCAUAAAACAAU